rnacentral:rRNA from 1 species
UACGUAGGGUGCGAGCGUUGUCCGGAAUUAUUGGGCGUAAAGAGCUCGUAGGCGGUUUGUCGCGUCUGCUGUGAAAACCUAAGGCUCAACCUUGGGCUUGCAGUGGGUACGGGCAGACUAGAGUUCGGUAGGGGAGACUGGAAUUCCUGGUGUAGCGGUGAAAUGCGCAGAUAUCAGGAGGAACACCGGUGGCGAAGGCGGGUCUCUGGGCCGAUACUGACGCUGAGGAGCGAAAGCGUGGGGAGCGAACAGG